ensembl:lncRNA
CAAUGACGCAGCAGCAUGCUCGAAUUUCCCGCAAAAAUUUACCAGUACCACUCAGAUUAGAAAACAUUAUUGUAAACUAACUGGUUGUAAAUCGGGCUAAAGUAAGGCGAUAGUUUUUUAACCAAAAAAAUUUAUGGACAGCAGCUUUAAUCUAUCCUGUAGUUUUAAGUGGCUUUAUUGGUUUGGAUAUAAUAAAUGACAAUCCGCUCAACCAAUGGCGUGGCUUUGGGGUGGAACUACCUGUUUUUUCUGUCCAAUGGUGGACGAUGUGUUUGAAACCUGUUUGAAAACAGUUUUUCAUAAAAUUAUUUGAAAACAAAUAAAGAAACCGAGUCUAAUAGAGUUAGGUUAUGUUUUUGUAUAAUAAUAACUGUAAUAACAUUUAUGGCGGAAAUAGUUGGCAUGAAUUUUAUAGCCUAGUUAGUCAAUAUCGUCGUUGUUUCAAUAUCAGUAUUUAACCUACACAAUAAUCCCAUUGACCAAAACCGAAAUUUUGCUGUAAGUGACCCUAUUAACGGCAAACACAAGCACACGGUGAAUGCUUAUUAUUGUAACUAGAGCGAUAAAGGCACAAUCAGCACGAGACCCCUUUGAUUUGGUUCUCGCGCGUAGCGCAGCAUCCCCCGACGCGUGCGAUAUCCGGAGCGCUGUCAGCAGUGUAGGACCGCUGGGGGUUUUGCUCGCACUGACUCUACACCAAUGACAAUGAACUGCGCAUCCUCAUAUUGCAUUCGAAGCGGAGUCUGGUUUUCUGACAUCUGCUACACAAUGACAGGUUCAUUUACCUUAAUUUGACGGUGAUCCCACGCGUUAUUGUGGGAAAUGCAUAAGAGAUGGACAAAUAAUAUGGACUGGACACCGUCUGUUGAGCGAUACCAGAGAGAUGCUGAAAGACACUAUAAUGGACAUAAAGCGGCCCGGCCCAAGAGCAUGAUCGAUAUGUGCGGUAAGUAUAUUAAAUUCAUUGGUAGAUCUUCAAUUUUACACUAAAGAUGUAAAUGUGUUGUUAUUUUUAAUGCUAUGUCACAAUACAGUUCCACAAAUGUCACUUUAUGAUGUGCUUAAAGGGGUAGUUCACCCCAAAAUUUGUUCCUCACCCUCAUGUUGUUCCAAACCUUUAUAAAUUUCUUUCUUCUUUUAAAUGAAAAGAAGAUAUUUUGAAGAAAGAUAAAAUCCUACAGCAACUUGAGGGUGAAUAAACAAUGAAUUUUCUUUUCUCUUUCCCGCAGUACAAUCACUGACUUUUUAAUAGACUAAGCCCAAAUUUUACCGAAACAACUUGUUUUGUCAUAAACCUGAGUUUCAAAACACUGUAGCAGUGACGUUCUGAAAAAUGGAGUCGGUCUGCAUUGUUGAGUUGCUUCUAUCUGGAUAUUAAAUGACUCAAGCUCUUUCAUAAAGAUGGAAUCAUCUCAACCCCAUCCCCCCCCCCC